rnacentral:rRNA from 1 species
UACGAAGGGGGGCUAGCGUUGCUCGGAAUCACUGGGCGUAAAGGGUGCGUAGGCGGGUUAUUAAGUCAGAGGUGAAAUCCUGGAGCUCAACUCCAGAACUGCCUUCGAUACUGGAAGACUUGAGUCCGGGAGAGGUGAGUGGAACUGCGAGUGUAGAGGUGAAAUUCGUAGAUAUUCGCAAGAACACCAGUGGCGAAGGCGGCUCACUGGCCCGGUACUGACGCUGAGGUGCGAAAGCGUGGGGAGCAAACAGG